CUUUAUUUCUUCUUCCUUCUCUCACGCUCCUCUUCUCGUUAUUCUUUUUCUUUUUUUUCUUUUUUUUUCUUUUUUUUUCUUCCUCCUCUCUUCUCUCUUCUUCGUCUCUCUCUCUCUCUCAUCAUCUUCCUCUCUCACUUCUUUUCCGACCUUUUAAAAAAAAAAACAAGGUUGCUCUUUUUUUUGUUGGUUGGGUGGUGGUUAAUGGGUUGAUGAAUUUGGGCUUCGAUUAUUAACAGGGGUUCGAUUGUUGAUGUUUGAUAGUUGAAACGUUUUGAAUUUGGGGUUCGAUGGUUGAUGUCUGAUGGUUAACUUUUGUUCUUGGUUAGUAGGCUUGGGCUAAUCGGUGGAUUGCGGUUUUGUGGACACCAACCGACAUCUGCGGUUAAUGGCAUCUUCUCGUACAGUACCGGUAUAAAAAACUCCAAUACCAGAAAGCCUCGGUCGGAUUGCGGUUUCUCUGAAAAUUUGCGGUUUUCGAACCACACCCGUUAAAAUCCUUUAAAAUAUUUUAAAUUUGAAAAAAACAUUUAUUUAAAAAAAAGAAAAAAAAAAGUAAGAAACAAAAGGGAUGGAAGAGAGAAAAGAAGAAAAGGAAAGAGAGGAAGAAUGGGGAGCAAGAGAGGCAGAGAAUGGGUCAGGGAAGGGGCUGGGUGUUGGGUCUCGGGUAAGCCUUAGAGAUGUGGGGUGGGUAGGGUUCGGGGUGGGGUUGUGGGCAGGGCUAGGAUCGGGAUGGGUUAGAGCAACUCCAGCAAUGAGCUGAGCCUAAGGUUGGGGGGAGGGGGGGAAAACUCAUUCCAGCGGUGAGUCCAAGCUCGGGCUGGGAGUGAGUCCCACCAAGUCGGGCUGGCCCGAAGGCCAGUUCAGUCCGAGAUGACGCCUGCGUGUUGUGACGUCAGCGCUGGUUCAAAAUUUUUUUACCGUUGGCGCAUGCAAUACGCGCGCUGACAUCGGCGCGACGCCACCUCCAACGGGAAGAAGCCACGUGUCACGCCCCCAGCGCUCCGAUCUACUUCUCCGAAUCUAAUCCAACGGCUGGCAUUUUUUGGACAACAAAAUUUUUUUAAAAAAAUUCUAAAAAAUUCUGAUUUUUUUUUUUUAAAACUAUAAAUACCUAUAAAUACCCUUCACUUUCAACACUAAUCCUCAUACAUUUCAUUAUACUUAUACUAUUAUUCACUCUUUACUCGACAUUUUCCUCUCUUUCAACUUGUAUUUUUAUUUCUUAUUUUUAUGGCUUCUUCUAUCGAAACUGGAGGGGCUUGGAGCACCAUGAAAGAUGUUUCCUUGUGUGAGGCUUGGCUCCAAAUUUGUCAUUGUCCCGUGUCCGGCAAUGAGAUGAAAUUUUUUCAUAUGUGGAAAAAAAUUCAUGUCGAAUUUUGUGAAAAAAUUCCGGAGUCUACUCAUACGGAAAUGGCAUUAUCUAGUAGGUGGAAAAUUCUCAAUAAAGAGUUGGGAAAAUGGAGAGAUGCCUUGGCAAAAGCGAUGGACAACUAUAGAAGCGGGGAAAAUCGUACUAACGAGGUAAGUAUUUUAUAAUUUUUGUUUUAUUAAGUUUAAUAUCCUAAUAUAUAUAUUUUGUUAAUAUUUAUUGCAUUUUCAAUAUUUUGUUAAUAUUUCUUGCAUUUUAAAUAUUUUGUUAAUAUUUCUUGCAUUUUCAAUAUUUUGUUAAUAUUUCUUGCAUUUUCAAUAUGUUGUUAAUAUUUCUUGCAUUUCCAAUUGUUUCUUAAUUUUUCUUGCACUUCUAAUUUAUUUGUAAGGUUAAUUGCAUUUCCAUUAUUUUUUUUUUUUGUUACUUGCAUAUCCAAUAUAUUUUAAAUAUUUAUUGCAUUUCCAUUUUUUUUGUUAAAUAGAUGAUUCAAGCA
rnacentral:lncRNA from 1 species